rnacentral:misc_RNA from 1 species
GAUGAAGAACGCAGCGAAAUGCGAUAAGUAAUGUGAAUUGCAGAAUUCAGUGAAUCAUCGAAUCUUUGAACGCACAUUGCGCCCCUUGGUAUUCCGAGGGGCAUGCCUGUUCGAGCGUCAUUAUAACCCCUCAAGCUCAGCUUGGUGUUGGGGCCUGCUGCACUGGCAGCCCUUAAAAUCAGUGGCGGCGCCAUCUGGCUCUAAGCGUAGUAAUUCUUCUCGCUAUGGAGUCCUGGUGGAUGCUUGCCAGCAACCCCCAAUUUUUUUCAGGUUGACCUCGGAUCAGGUAGGGAUACCCGCUGAACUUAAGCAUAUCAAUAAGCGGAGGA